UAUCUUCUAGACUCUGCUCAAGU
rnacentral:siRNA from 1 species